UGAGCUUUCGCAGCGAAUCCGGAGGCAAAACUUACUCCUAACCGACGGACGGACGACAGUCGAAAAAACAGACAAGACAGGUGGCCUCACCUGGAGUUACGAACGUGUACAAUUCCCGGAAUUUUGAAGCCCCCGUCUUUUUCCCUCGCUUAGGAAUACACGCCCCCCGUACAAACACUGCCUAUAAAUACCCAGACCUACCAUUAUCCGGAUCCUCUCACUUCUCUUCGCAAAUUCUUCUUCAUGACUUCUUCUGCAAAUCCUCUUCUCAUUCAUCUAGGGUUUCAAAAGACCCUAGAAAGAUCCCAUCCUCCUAUAAGAAUCUCAAUCUUCUCCGCCUCAUUCUCUCCUCCGAAAUUCUGUUCUACUCUCAAGAUAUCUGGAUCGGAAAUUCAAAGGGGUGGAUGCAAAUUGCGACGAGAUUUGGUCCGGAUUGCUGCAAUGGAUGAUGAUUCAGAAGCAUUUUCUUCAUUUGAUGAAUUUGACGAUAAUGGGGUGAUUUAUGGAGGGAGCAUAUUAUCACCGAGUGAAGGUGAAGAGAGUGAUACAGAGAUCUUGAUAAUUCCUUCUACGGAUGUUGAUUUGCCUAGCAGAAGUGAUCUUUUUGACAGAUCGGAUGCAGUGACAGUGGCUGCUCAUCGGUUUGCUACCCUUCGGAAAAGACGCAAAAGGCGCAGGAUCCAGCCUGGAGUUUUUAUUAAUAUGGGACUGAUAGCCUUCUCAGCCAUGCUUCUUUUAUUUGUGGACUGGUGUUCGUGGAAGAUUGUCAGACUACCUUUCCCAUCUUUUUACCUGACACGCCCUUUUUCUAUAUCAGCUAUUUUAGCAUCAUGUGCAGGUUUUUUGUAUGUCCCACUACUUGAUAGGUUGAAAAUCCAUCAAGUCAUUAGGAUAGAAGGGCCUCUUAUGCAUGCCUCUAAGAAAGGAACUCCUACGAUGGGUGGAUUAUUUUUUGUUCCAAUUGGUCUUGCUGUUGCCAGAGCCAUAGCUGGUUUCUCUUCUGUUGAAGUUUAUGGAGCGGCUGCUGCAACUAUUGCUUUUGCUGCAAUUGGGCUACUUGAUGACACCUUAAGUUCUUUCAAGAAUCACAACUAUGGAUUACCAGGGAAAUUUAAAUUCUGUUUACAGGCAGCUGUUGGUACAUGGUUUUCUUUUUGGUUGGAGUCUGCAGAUGUAUUGUCACCAUACAGCAUGAAAAUGUUGGUACCUUUCCCUGCACCACUGGGCCUUGUGUAUUUUGGAAAGUUUUAUUUGUUUUUUUCUGCAUUCUGUUUUGUUGCUAUGGGGAAUGGAGUUAACUUGACAGAUGGCCUUGAUGGCCUGGCUGGAGGAACAGCUGCAUUGGCUUUUAUUGGGAUGUCAAUCGCUGUUCUCCCAAUAUGUUCUGGAAAAGGAUUACCAAGAGAAGUUUUCUCAAGAUGCGUUGACCUGAUUGUUGAUGCAAAAUGGGUUAUAUGCAUCAAACUUGACAAGAAGCAGGCUGUCGAUGGACCUUGCUGUGUUUGGAGCAUCAAUGGCUGGAGCUUGUGUUGGUUUUCUCUUGCACAAUGGGUACAAGGCAUCCAUAUUUAUGGGUGAUACUGGAUCAUUGGCACUGGGUGGGGCACUUGCGGCAAUGGCUUCCUGUACAGGGAUGUUUUUUCCAUUGUUAAUUGCAUCCGGUGUCUUUAUCCUGGAAGUAUUAUCGGUUAUAAUGCAGGUAUCUUUCUUCAAGGCCACAAGACGCUUGUAUGGAGCCGGCCGCCGUUUGUUCCGAAUGGCUCCUUUGCACCACCACCUUGAAUUAUCUGGGCUCAAAGAGCCACAUAUUGUUACAAGUGCAUAUGUUGUAUCAUCCGUGCUGGCUAUAUUGGCAGGUUAUGUAGGUCUUAUUUCAGCGUGAAGUGCAGAGAUGAUCUUUCCCCACAUCUCUUUUCUCA